rnacentral:rRNA from 1 species
UACGUAGGGGGCGAGCGUUGUCCGGAGUUACUGGGCGUAAAGGGCGCGUAGGCGGUGUGUCAAGUCAGGCGUGAAAGCCCCGGGCUCAACCUGGGAACCGCGCUUGAGACUGGCACGCUAGAGUUCGGGAGAGGAUGGUGGAAUUCCCAGUGUAGAGGUGAAAUUCGUAGAUAUUGGGAAGAACACCGAUGGCGAAGGCAGCCAUCUGGACCGACACUGACGCUGAGGCGCGAAAGCGUGGGGAGCAAACAGGGA